rnacentral:rRNA from 1 species
GAUGAACGCUGGCGGCGUGCCUAAUACAUGCAAGUCGAGCGAACAGACGAGGAGCUUGCUCCUCUGACGUUAGCGGCGGACGGGUGAGUAACACGUGGAUAACCUACCUAUAAGACUGGGAUAACUUCGGGAAACCGGAGCUAAUACCGGAUAAUAUAUUGAACCGCAUGGUUCAAUAGUGAAAGACGGUUUUGCUGUCACUUAUAGAUGGAUCCGCGCCGCAUUAGCUAGUUGGUAAGGUAACGGCUUACCAAGGCGACGAUGCGUAGCCGACCUGAGAGGGUGAUCGGCCACACUGGAACUGAGACACGGUCCAGACUCCUACGGGAGGCAGCAGUAGGGAAUCUUCCGCAAUGGGCGAAAGCCUGACGGAGCAACGCCGCGUGAGUGAUGAAGGUCUUCGGAUCGUAAAACUCUGUUAUUAGGGAAGAACAAAUGUGUAAGUAACUAUGCACGUCCUGACGGUACCUAAUCAGAAAGCCACGGCUAACUACGUG